UUUCGACCUGAGCUCAGGCGAGGCUACCCGCUGAACUUAAGCAUAUCAAUAAGCGGAGGAAAAGAAACUAACCAGGAUUCCCCUAGUAACGGCGAGCGAACCGGGAUCAGCCCAGUGUGAAAAUCUCCAGCCCUCGGCUGGCGAAUUGUAGUCUGGAGAAGCGUCCUCUGUGGCGAGUCGUGCCCAAGUCCCCUGGAAAGGGGCGUCAGAGAGGGUGAGAACCCCGUCGGCGCGGCGGCCGCCACUCCACGAGGUGCUUUCGCAGAGUCGGGUUGUUUGGGAAUGCAGCCCAAAGCAGGUGGUAAAUCCCAUCUAAGGCUAAAUACCGACGGGAGACCGAUAGCGAACAAGUACCGCGAGGGAAAGAUGAAAAGAACUUUGAAAAGAGAGUUAAAAAGUGCUUGAAAUUGUUGAGGGGGAAGUGAACGGAAGUCGGGGUGCGCCCGGGCUUAUGCCUCCCGCGAGGGCGGCUGUAUGCGCCGGGCGCUGGUCAGCAUGGGUUGGGGGGGCGGGACAAAGCGUCGGUUGUCACGGCGCCUCUGUCGCCCUCCGACUGAGGACUAUGGGCGCUCUGUCCCUCGGGAACUGCGUCCACACGAUGCUGGCGAAAGGCUUCCGUUCAGCCCGUCUUGAAACACGGACCAAGGAGUCUAACAUGUGCGCGAGCCGGUGGGUGGCAAACCCAUGAGGCGCAAGUAACCUGACUGGUGGGAGGGCCUGUGCCCGCACCAUCGACCGACCAUGAUCUUCUGUGAAAGGUUUGAGUACGAGCGUACCUGUUGGGACCCGAAAGAUGGUGAACUAUGCCUGAGCAGGGUGAAGCCAGAGGAAACUCUGGUGGAGGCUCGUAGAUGUGCUGACGUGCAAAUCGCUUUUCGGACUUGGGUAUAGGGGCGAAAGACUAAUCGAACCAUCUAGUAGCUGGUUCCCUCCGAAGUUUCCCCCAGGAUAGCUGGAGCUCGUUCAGUUGAGUCAGGUAAAGCGAAUGAUUAGAGGUGCCGGGGAUGAAACAUCCUCGACCUAUUCUCAAACUUUAAAUAGGCUCGACGUCGGGGCUGCUUGAUUGAGCCCCGGCACUCAAUGUGAGCUCCAAGUGGGCCAUUUUUGGUAAGCAGAACUGGCGAUGCGGGAUGAACCGAUAGCCGAGUUAAGGCGCCAAACUGCGCGCUAACCUAGAUCCCACAAAGGGUGUUGAUUCAUACAGACAGCAGGACGGUGGUCAUGGAAGUUGAAACCCGCUAAGGAGUGUGUAACAACUCACCUGCCGAAUGAAUUAGCCCCGAAAAUGGAUGGCGCUGAAGCGCGCGGCCUAUACUCGGCCAUGGGAGCGAGUGCAUGCUCCCAUGAGUAGGAGGGCGCGGGUGUCGUGGCGMNNNSUGCGGCGNNNNNNSGGGUGAAACGGCACCUGGUGCAGAUCUUGGUGGUAGUAGCAAAUAUUCAAAUGAGAACUUUGAAGACUGAAGUGGAGAAGGGUUC
rnacentral:rRNA from 1 species